rnacentral:lncRNA from 1 species
AUGCAGUACCACUGUAAUAAAAACGGUGUAUAGUGAUACUUUUAAAUGUCGGUACAGAUCAAAAAAGUGUUGUUGGCUAAAUUACCAAUACUUUUUAAAAAUAUUGCUAUAUGUUGGGUCGCGAUAUGUGGGGCCACCUUGAUGUUUCGUACUCACUCCUCCAGCUACCUGUGGUGGAGGGAUAUGUAGCAAUCAUAGCCCUCUAUGAUCUCCACGAGAUUCUCGCCGCCAGAACCGUACCUCGUCGGCUAUGGCGACGGAGGAGGAGAAGGAGAGAUCGAUGGUGAUCAUUUUUUUUUUCUUUUAUAUUUGUAAUCGAGCCGAGUGGGCUGGGUAGGGUUGGUUAAGUAUAGAAAUUUUUUAUUUUUGAUUAAAUUGGGUUUUAUAUUUAGACGUUAAUAAAUUUUUUAAAAAAGUUUUGACAUAAAUAGAAUACUUACACAAAAAUAUACUUUAUAAUCUAAUUCUGUUGUACUGUACUAUUUAAAAUUUGUUUAAUAUAUAUCUCUAUUCAGUGAUAUAAUCAAAAGUUCUAAGUUGGAUUUUAUGAGGUUGCGACUCCAAAUACUAAUUUGGGUUUCUAAUAUUGCAUGCAGUAGAAAUUCCUGAGUUUUUUUAUUUGUCUAUGUUGAAUAUAAAAUAUAUAAGACAUCAUUCUCCAAUACUUUAAGAUUGUUUUUAAAAAAUAAUCAUUUCAUAUUAUUUAUGAGCAAGAGAUUCUGAGUUCGAGUCCGGUCAGAUUCCUAGCUAGCAUUUUUUAAUUUCUUCCGAUUUAAUUUAGCUCAUGUUUUGGGUCUAUUAAAAAAGUUGAGUCCAGCUGUGGGAAGGAGUUUUGAAUAGGAGUGCCCAGAUGUGAGGAGAAGUGUUGAAUAUAAAAUAUAUAAACACUAUAUUCCGGUAGCUUAAAAUUUUUCAAGAAAGAUAAUUGUUAGGUAAAGCGAAGUUGGAGCACAAUAUGCCUUUUCGCUUUUUAGUAGGAUCAUAGCAAGUACAUAUAAUUGACACAUUAUCAUAUGCAGAAUAUGAUAUUACAUACAAAAUAAACAGAGUAUUUUUUUUAUUGUACUUUUUCACCGUAGAUAUAUAAUAAAAUCCUUCCGUAAUUCCAAACGAAACUAAGUACUCUAACGAAACUAA